CGGGAGGAGGACCGGGGAAGCGGGAGGAGGCGCCGGAGCCGGAGCCGCCCCAGCCCGCGCCGCCAACUUGAGCAAGUUGGUCGCCGCUGCCCCCUCUGGCGGGCGGCGGCUGCCCCGCAGGGGCCGGGCCCCUCCCCCGCGGCCAAGGUCACAGCGGAGCGCUGGGUCCGCCGGAACGCACCGGGCGCGCCCUACCCGCUCUCGCUCGUGUCGGGCCGCGCCUCUUCCCCGGGAAACUCGAGUCCUGAAUUUCCUCGGAAUGCGCCCCGCUGCUACGGCCAACGGAUGUGACGAGGCUCCUCUGAUACCAGGGGGAAAGUUUCGGGAACCCUUAAAGGGGCAGCGAGGGCCUGAACUGGCCCUGUGGCCCCGCGCGCGAGGGAGCCCCGCAGCGGUGGGGGGUGACCUGAGGGUCGGAGAGGAGAAGAGAGAAUCGUCAGAGAGCCGCGAGCAUCUUCGGGAGUCAGCGCCUGCCCUCGCUAAGUUCAUCCCCGCCGCACUUACACCCACCCGAGUCUGGCAGCGUCUCUGGGCAUUUCUAGUGCGCCGAGGCCCCGCCCCCACCCCGGAUCCUGCUCCUUCCCUCUCCCCUCUCCCCACUUCGGCCCCUAGCGGCGGGGGGUGGGGGUGGGUUGGGGGUGGCCAGGGAGAGCGCGAGAGCUUUCGAGACCUCGCCCUAGAAAUCUUGGGGGGGGGGGGAGGGGGGAGGGGGCCUCGGCUCCCCCAGGCGCCGGUCGUCACCUCCCGGGAGGUGGUGUCCGCCGCUGGCUUUGAACUUGGGCUUCUCCUCCCCAGGACCGUCCGUCAUGCAGGUGAGAAGCUGCCCGGAGCCGCUCCUUCAGCUCCCUCAGGACUCCCUCCGUCCACCGAGCAACUCGCAGUCACGAUGCACAAAUCAGGGCGGCCAAGUCUGGGCCGCUGCCUUCCCUCCGUCGCCUCCCCCUCCGCCAGCCCUCGGCGGAUUAUCUAAUUAAUACUUGUUUAGCCGCGGACACGAAGACCAAAGAAGUAUCAGUCGUGCCAACAAGGAGGGUGAUUUUAUUUGAGGUACUAAACGCAGGGGGGGACAGCUGCACCUGCUAAAGCCCAUCGAUUUCUACUGAAACAAGGAGCAGAAAAAUCUCUCUACCUCCUCCAGCUGAAUUAUGCUGGCUGUUUUAAAAAACAAACAAACCCAUCUUCGAAACAGUGGGAAGGUUGGAGCAAAGCGUCACUCCUCCCUGAGGAUUGCCACUAAUAAAUAAAGAAGAAAUGGGACUGCAACGUCGCCACUGAGCAGACCCUAAUGAGUUCAGAGAUCGGGGCAUUGAGCGUACAUGGCUGAUAACUUUACACACAAAAAACAGAGACCACCAACGUUCUGUGCUUCCUGAUGGAAGUCCACAGAGCUGCCAGUGAAAUGUUCUCACCAGAAAAUCAAACCUGAAUCUGACUAAGGCUCUACAUCACAUCUUGGGGGCCAGCUCAGCCCUGCUGCCUGUUUUUGCGAAUAAAGCUUUAUUGAAACACA